rnacentral:rRNA from 1 species
CCUACGGGAGGCAGCAGUGGGGAAUAUUGGGCAAUGGGCGCAAGCCUGACCCAGCAACGCCGCGUGAAGGAAGAAGGCUUUCGGGUUGUAAACUUCUUUUCUGAGGGACGAAGAAAGUGACGGUACCUCAGGAAUAAGCCACGGCUAACUACGGGCCAGCAGCCGCGGUAAUACGGAGGCGGCAAGCGUUAUCCGGAUUUAUUGGGUGUAAAGGGGGUGUAGGCGGGAAAGCAAGUCAGAUGUGAAAUCUCAGGGCUCAACCCUGGGCCUGCAUUUGAAACUGUUUUUCUUGAGUGCUGGAGAGGUAAGCGGAAUUCCGGGUGUAGCGGUGAAAUGCGUAGAUAUUAGGAGGAACACCAGUGGCGAAGGCGACUUUCUGGACUGUACCUGACGCUGAGGCGCGAAAGCGUGGGGAGCGAACGGGAUUAGAUACCCCAGUAGUC